rnacentral:tRNA from 1 species
UCCCUGGUGGCUCAGACGGUAAAGCGUCUGCCUGCAAUGCAGGAAACCCGGGUUUGAUCCCUGGGUCGGGAA